UUGCUCAUUUUGGCAGCACAAAUACUAAAUUUGGAAGACUACAGAGACUAGCAUGGUCCCUGUGCAAGGAUUUGUAAAACAUUUGUAAAUUUUUUUU
rnacentral:snRNA from 1 species